rnacentral:tRNA from 1 species
GGAGACGUGACUGAGUGGCCGAAAGUGGCACCCUGCUAAGGUGUUAGUCGCAAUCGCGGCUCGAGGGUUCGAAUCCCUCCGUCUCCGCCA